CCUGCCGUCUACUCUUGGACAGCCUUCUGAAAGGAAGAUUAAUACCCGAUGGCAUAGUUCUUCCGCAUGGUGGAACUAUUAAAGAAUUUCGGUCAUCGAUGGGGAUGCGUUCCAUUAGGUUGUUGGCGGGGUAACGGCCCACCAAGCCUUCGAUGGAUAGGGGUUCUGAGAGGAAGGUCCCCCACAUUGGAACUGAGACACGGUCCAAACUCCUACGGGAGGCAGCAUG
rnacentral:rRNA from 1 species